GACGAACGCUGGCGGCGUGCUUAACACAUGCAAGUCGAACGGAAAGGCCCUGCUUUUGUGGGGUGCUCGAGUGGCGAACGGGUGAGUAACACGUGAGUAACCUGCCCUUGACUUUGGGAUAACUUCAGGAAACUGGGGCUAAUACCGGAUAGGAGCUCCUGCUGCAUGGUGGGGGUUGGAAAGUUUCGGCGGUUGGGGAUGGACUCGCGGCUUAUCAGCUUGUUGGUGGGGUAGUGGCUUACCAAGGCUUUGACGGGUAGCCGGCCUGAGAGGGUGACCGGACAAAUUGGGAAUGAGAUACGGACCAGACGGCUACGGGAGGCAGCAGUGGGGAAUAUUGCACAAUGGGAGGAAGCCUGAUGCAGCAACGCCGCGUGCGGGAUGACGGCCUUCGGGUUGUAAACCGCUUUCGCCUGUGACGAAGAGUGAGUGACGGUAAUGGGUAAAGAAGCACCGGCUAACUACGUG
rnacentral:rRNA from 1 species